UCAAUCUUCAAGAUACAUUGCUAUAAUGGUUUGAAUAUCAUAAAUGCACUUGCAUACACUUAAAAUAUUAACAAAGAUUAAAACCUAAAGAUUUUAUUACCAAAAUUUGCCAAUGACAACUUUAUGAGUUUGAGCAGUGUUAUACACUAGUAGGCACUCCUUAUAUGCUACCUCAACCAUCUCCACAUUUGGAAAAUUUUUGAACAAAACUAUAAUGAGAGAACAUAUACAACAAAAGAACCAAAUGCUCUCCCUAAGUAACCCUCCCC
rnacentral:lncRNA from 1 species